GGAAACUUGUGAUCGUGAAGCAGAGCAUAAGAGUUUGGAAAAUUUGCAGUGUGGCCAUGAGGGAGAAAACAAAAGCCUAAUUUCAGGAAUCCUGAGUUGAACUGAGUAUGUGUGGGAAGCAGGUGAAGAUGAGUCACUCUGACCUCCAUACCUAAACAUGUGGACACUAAGUUCUUACACAGAAUACCCUUCCUGAUGUCUGAUAUGAUAA
rnacentral:lncRNA from 13 species